rnacentral:rRNA from 2 species
UACCGCAUACGCCCUACGGGGGAAAGCAGGGGAUCGCAAGACCUUGCACUAUUAGAGCGGCCGAUAUCGGAUUAGCUAGUUGGUGGGGUAACGGCUCACCAAGGCGACGAUCCGUAGCUGGUUUGAGAGGACGACCAGCCACACUGGGACUGAGACACGGCCCAGACUCCUACGGGAGGCAGCAGUGGGGAAUUUUGGACAAUGGGGGAAACCCUGAUCCAGCCAUCCCGCGUGUGCGAUGAAGGCCUUCGGGUUGUAAAGCACUUUUGGCAGGAAAGAAACGUCAUGGGCUAAUACCCCGUGAAACUGACGGUACCUGCAGAAUAAGCACCGGCUAACUACGUGCCAGCAGCCGCGGUAAUACGUAGGGUGCAAGCGUUAAUCGGAAUUACUGGGCGUAAAGCGUGCGCAGGCGGUUCGGAAAGAAAGAUGUGAAAUCCCAGAGCUUAACUUUGGAACUGCAUUUUUAACUACCGAGCUAGAGUGUGUCAG